rnacentral:lncRNA from 1 species
CUGGAAUCAACACCUUCAUGACUGUGAUAGAAAUGGCUAUGAAACCAAACCGUGGACUCCAAUCUCAGGGAGCUUGGGUUUCUUGGCUACCACCAGAUGUGUUGAAGGAGCUGUGCUUGAUGGCAUCCUCAAAGCAUUUAGCAUCCCAUAAGUACUGAGUUACCAGUAAUGACAAAAUGGAGAGGAACCUUGGACAAAUAAAUCACAGGCAAUGGAAUGUAUAAACAUCCACUUUUUGUUGGGGUGAUGAAUAGGAAUACAAAUCUUCUGUAUACGACAGACCGAUUCAAGGAAAAUUAUUGUGAUAUCAAAAUGUAAGUGAAAAAAUAAUGCAAAUCUUUCUAGAAUACCACAAUGACUAUUAGUACUUCUUCUCUGGUGGAACUGACAUUAAACCCCCGCUUGUAUUGACAGACUAGAUCUCCAAAGAGCACCUGACUACCAUCCCCCUCAAAGUACUGUAGUAACCCUGAGGGGCCAGUACUAUUUUUGAUACUAUUAUUCACAAGCCCCCAUUAGUGUGCUUUCCACUGAUUAUCAGCCAUAGUCAUUUCCUAAGGUGGCAUAGUAC